rnacentral:rRNA from 1 species
AAAUUGAAGAGUUUGAUCAUGGCUCAGAUUGAACGCUGGCGGCAGGCCUAACACAUGCAAGUCGAACGGUAACAGGAAGCAGCUUGCUGCUUCGCUGACGAGUGGCGGACGGGUGAGUAAUGUCUGGUAAACUGCCUGAUGGAGGGGGAUAACUACUGGAA